GGACGGGUGAGUAACACGUGGGUAACCUGCCCUUAAGUGGGGGAUAACAUUUGGAAACAGAUGCUAAUACCGCAUAAAUCCAAGAACCGCAUGGUUCUUGGCUGAAAGAUGGCGUAAGCUAUCGCUUUUGGAUGGACCCGCGGCGUAUUAGCUAGUUGGUGAGGUAACGGCUCACCAAGGCAAUGAUACGUAGCCGAACUGAGAGGUUGAUCGGCCACAUUGGGACUGAGACACGGCCCAAACUCCUACGGGAGGCAGCAGUAGGGAAUCUUCCACAAUGGACGCAAGUCUGAUGGAGCAACGCCGCGUGAGUGAAGAAGGCUUUCGGGUCGUAAAACUCUGUUGUUGGAGAAGAAUGGUCGGCAGAGUAACUGUUGUCGGCGUGACGGUAUCCAACCAGAAAGCCACGGCUAACUACGUGCCAGCAGCCGCGGUAAUACGUAGGUGGCAAGCGUUAUCCGGAUUUAUUGGGCGUAAAGCGAGCGCAGGCGGUUUUUUAAGUCUGAUGUGAAAGCCCUCGGCUUAACCGAGGAAGUGCAUCGGAAACUGGGAAACUUGAGUGCAGAAGAGGACAGUGGAACUCC
rnacentral:rRNA from 2 species